UAAGUUUGUCUUCUUGGUCAUCUGUAACAGCCAGAUAAACAACUCACUCGUAAGAGAAAGUUAUUAGUUCAGAUUUGCAACUCUGCUGUUACCUGCUUUUUAUUUAGUUCUCUGUGCUUCUGUCUGGUGCAGUGGACCACACCUCUGGCUCGACUAGCAUCUCAGAGUGGGAGAGAUUCCACGUGGAUCAUCUGUGCUCCUGUUCUUGGGAAUGGACCAAACCUCUGGCUCGGCUCGCAUCUCGGCAUGGGAGGGAUUUUGGGUGAAUAAUCUAUGCUCUUGUUCUUGGCCGUGGACCAAGCCUCUGGCUCAACUAGCAUCUCAGAGUGGGAGAGAUUCCACAUGGAUCAUCUGUGCUCCUGUUCUUGGGAAUGGACCAAACCUCUGGCUCGGCUCGCAUCUCGGCAUGGGAGGGAUUCCGGGUGGAUCAUCUAUGCUCUUGUUCUUGGCCGUGAACCAAGCCUCUGGCUCAACUAGCAUCUCAGAGUGGGAGAAAUUUCAGGUGUAUCAUCUGUGCUCUUGCUCUUGGCCGUGGACCACGCCUUUGGCUUGACUUGGAUCUCAGAGUGGGAGAGAUUCCGGGUGGAUCAUCUAUGCUCUUGUUCUUGGCCGUGGACCACGCCUCUGGCUCGACUAGGAUCGCAGAAUGGGAGAGAUUCCAAGUGGAUCGUCUGUGCUCUUGGUCUUCACCGUGGACCACGCCUCUGGCUUGUCUCGCAUCUCAGGGUGGGAGAGAUUCCAGGUGGAUCAUCUGUGGUCCUGUUUUCACCGUGGACUCCGCCUCUGGCUCAUCUUGGCUGUGGACCUGUGGCUUUUUUUUGUUUGUUUUUUUAGGAGUUUUUCCUUACUAAGAAGGACAGUCUAAGCAGUUUAGCUUAAUCUGUUUAUCUUAGUUUAGUUUAGCAACCAGCUAUUGUUUUCUUUUAUGGCUGAUUUUCUGUUUUUGUAUAACUACUGGUGUGAAGCCCAAUGAGACGAUUUUUUUGUGAUAUUAGGCUGUAUAAACAAAAUUGAAUUGAAUUUCUAAAGGGUUGCACCAAAGUUUGUAGAAACCAAAUACAUAAAGCAAUAAAAAUGGUACGAUAGUCUAGUUUAUUAGUAGCAGAAAAUCGGAAAAGAAUCAUGAAUUUUGAGGCCCAAAUGUUCUCUAGUUCUGAAAUGACCUGUAUUUUAUACAAGGUAAAUUUCUAUUUUGAAAAAUGAAUGGUUUUAUAGCUGCAUUUAAAACAUCGGCAGGUUUUGACACCUCACAUCUUUGAGGUGACACUACAAGCCCUCAUGGUCGCAGAAGUAAAGAUGAAAUAUGAAAACUUUUCAGCGAAAAACGACUGAUUCAUAUUUGGGUUUUUCUUUGAAGUAGCCUCCGUUUUGCAGUCAUUUUCUUGGUCUUGCAUCCCUCCCCUCUCCUCCUCCUCCUCCCUUGUUCUCUACCAGUCUCUCUCCUCCUGAUGGAGGAGGAAAAUCCAUUAAAGCUCCAGCCUCCCUCCUCUUUCUCACUUACACAGCCUGCUGUUUCUCUUUUUUCCCGCGUGAGUCUUUUUAGAUCUCCACGGCGCACUGCUAGCAGAGGUUACCGGGUGUUCCUCUGACACAGGCAGGCUGGAGGAUCUGCCGAAUGAGACGAUGUGAUUUUCCUCCAUCCUUGCAGAGAAGGAAUGUACCGUUUUGUCUUUUUUUUUUUAUUGCUGUUUAGUUCGGAAACCUGUUGCAUCUUUGAAGGCUGACCACAGCAUACAUUUUGCACCAAAGAAAACCAUUUAUGGGUCAAUUUUUUUUCCAGUUUCUUUGAACAUAUCUUUAUCUAAAUGUGGAUCAUCUCAAUUGAGGAUUUAAGCGUCUUCUGGAACUUACAGUACAAGUGAAUCCACCGUGAAGAUGGCUGCUGUAAGGGUCUUCAUCAGCCUACUGCUGAUUGUGCACUAUGCCAGAGCCCAGAAAUCAAGUGAGAACUCCACCCACGUCCUGCUCAGCCCUCAGACCCUGAUUAGCUUCCUGCUGCUGGGUUUGACUGUCACUCUGUCUGGCAGUGUCUACAUAUGGAUCCUCAGAUACGUGUGCAUUGGAUGUUGCCAACCGGUUGCGGUGGGCCCAGAAUCGGAGGCGUUAGCGGUGAUGGUGUGAACCCUUCGGCCCCCGGAGGGGUGCAAUAUCGCCACCUUUACCAUCCCACAAGCAAGAUUAUCUUUUUUUUACACCUGUGAACUGCAGAGCUCAGCUUUUGUAUAACCAAGUGUUUGAUGUGUCACUGCUGUCAGCACAGAUUUUACCACAAGAUAGGCUGACGAGUGUGACUGGGACAAAAGUGGACAGAAAGAUCCCUGAUUUGAAAAGGGUGUUUGGUUUUAUCAAUGUGUGGCAAAGAGAAAAGAUGCAAUGGGUUUCAUUUUGGACUGUCCCCUUUGGCGUUGGGAGUGGGGGGUACCCACAAGACAGCCUUCGGAACUUUUUUUUUCAAUGAUUUUUUUAUUUUUGGGGUCCACAGCAGAUAUUAAAUUUUGUCCACAUUGGUCAUGGGAGGGAUAACACGUCAGCAUAAGGGUGGGGUCAUCUGGACCCUCCAGGAUAGCACAAGCGUUACACCGAACAAUUCGUUUUGGUCCUAUGUGAUUUCAUGUUUUCUGUGCUACCCAAUAUAAAAGGUGGUUUCCUAAUUGA